rnacentral:rRNA from 1 species
AACGAACGUUGGCGGCGUGCCUAACACAUGCAAGUCGAACGGAAUUUGAGAGCUUGCUCUUAAAUUUAGUGGCGCACGGGUGAGUAACGCGUAGAUAAUCUGCCUGACGAUCUGGGAUAACACUUCGAAAGAGGUGCUAAUACCGGAUAAGCCCACGGAGUCUUUGGAUUCUGCGGGAAAAGGGGGGGACCUUCGGGCCUUCUGUCGUCAGAUGAGUCUGCGUACCAUUAGCUAGUUGGUAGGGUAAUGGCCUACCAAGGCGACGAUGGUUAGCUGGUCUGAGAGGGUGAUCAGGCACACUGGAACUGAGACACGGUCCAGACUCCUACGGGAGGUAGCAGUGGGGAAUUUUGCGCAAUGGGCGAAAGCCUGACGCAGCAACGCCGCGUGAGUGAUGAAGGCUUUCGGGUCGUAAAGCUCUGUCGAGGGGAAAGAAGUGUACUUUGGCUAAUAUCCAUUGUACUUGACGGUACCCCUAAAGGAAGCACCGGCUAACUCCGUGCCAGCCGCCGCCGUAA